rnacentral:rRNA from 1 species
GAUGAACGCUGGCGGCGUGCCUAAUACAUGCAAGUCGAGCGAACGGACGAGAAGCUUGCUUCUCUGAUGUUAGCGGCGGACGGGUGAGUAACACGUGGAUAACCUACCUAUAAGACUGGGAUAACUUCGGGAAACCGGAGCUAAUACCGGAUAAUAUUUUGAACCGCAUGGUUCAAAAGUGAAAGACGGUCUUGCUGUCACUUAUAGAUGGAUCCGCGCUGCAUUAGCUAGUUGGUAAGGUAACGGCUUACCAAGGCAACGAUGCAUAGCCGACCUGAGAGGGGGAUCGGCCACACUGGAACUGAGACACGGUCCAGACUCCUACGGGAGGCAGCAGUAGGGAAUCUUCCGAAAUGGGCGAAAGCCUGACGGAGCAACGCCGCGUGAGUGAUGAAGGUCUUCGGAUCGUAAAACGCUGUUAUUAGGGAAGAACAUAUGUGUAAGUAACUGUGCACAUCUGGACGGUACCUAAUCAGAAAGCCACGGCUAACUACGU